UUUCGCAAUGCCCGAAAGGGUGACGAAGCGACGCCGCGUGUGGGAAGAAGGCCUUCGGGUUGUAAACCACUGUCGGGAGUUAAGAAAGGUGUACGGGUAAAUAGUCCGUGCAUUUGACAAAAGCUCCGGAGGAAGCCACGGCUAACUCUGUGCCAGCAGCCGCGGUAAUACAGAGGUGGCAAGCGUUGUUCGGAAUUAUUGGGCGUAAAGAGCACGUAGGCGGCCCUGCAAGUCAGCUGUGAAAGCCUCCUGCUUAACGGGAGAAGCGCAGUUGAAACUACGGGGCUAGAGUGCGGAAGGGGAGAGUGGAACUUCUGGUGGAGCGGUGAAAUGCGUAGAUAUCAGAAGGAACACCGGCGGCGAAAGCGGCUCUCUGGUCCGUAACUGACGCUGAGGUGCGAAAGCCAGGGGAGCAAACGGGAUUAGAUACCCCGGUAGUCCUGGCCGUAAACGAUGGGCACUAAGUAGAGGGGUUUU
rnacentral:rRNA from 1 species